rnacentral:rRNA from 1 species
UUGACCUCGGAUCAGGUAGGAAUACCCGCUGAACUUAAGAGAUAUCGAAAAGGGGGGGGGAGGGG